UACGGAGGGGGCGAGCGUUAUUCGGAAUUAUUGGGCGUAAAAGGGCGCGUAGGCGGCCCGGUAAGUCAAAGGUGAAAUCCCUCGGCUCAACUGAGGAACUGCCUUUGAAACUGUCGGGCUUGAGGCCGGGAGGGGGUAGCGGAAUUCCCAGUGUAGCGGUGAAAUGCGUAGAUAUUGGGAGGAACACCGGUGGCGAAGGCGGCUACCUGGACCGGUUCUGACGCUGAGGCACGAAAGCGUGGGGAGCAAACGGG
rnacentral:rRNA from 1 species